ensembl:snRNA U6 U6 spliceosomal RNA
UUGCUUCAACAGCAUGUAUACUAAAAUUGGAAUGAUACAAAGAAGAUUAGCAUGGCCUCUGGGCAAGGAUGACACACAAAUUUGUGAAGUAUUUCAUAUUUUU